UGGAUCAAUGGGAAUGUGUUGUAUGACCAAGAGUUGAAGAUGUUUCAAGGAGAGGCCCAGCAUAUACAAAGGCAUGGAAGUAUGAAAAUGAUUGAGAUAGAGAGAAGCCUGUAUUCAGACCACGAGCUUCGUGCUCUGGAUGAAAACCAGCGACUGGCAAAGAAGAAAGCUGACCUUCAUGAUGAAGAAGAUGAACAGGAUAUAUUGCUGGCGCAAGAUUUGGAAGAUAUGUGGGAGCAGAAAUUUCUACAGUUCAAACUUGGAGCUCGCAUAACAGAAGCUGAUGAAAAGAAUGACCGAACAUCCCUGAACAGGAAGCUAGACAGGAACCUUGUCCUGUUAGUCAGAGAGAAGUUUGGAGACCAGGAUGUUUGGAUACUGCCCCAGGCAGAGUGGCAGCCUGGGGAGACCCUUCGAGGAACAGCUGAACGAACCCUGGCCACACUCUCAGAAAACAACAUGGAAGCCAAGUUCCUAGGAAAUGCACCCUGUGGGCACUACACAUUCAAGUUCCCCCAGGCAAUGCGGACAGAGAGUAACCUCGGAGCCAAGGUGUUCUUCUUCAAAGCACUGCUAUUAACUGGAGACUUUUCCCAGG
rnacentral:lncRNA from 1 species